rfam:Clostridium sp. CAG:524 genomic scaffold, scf4
AUUGGUGACGAUAGCAAAGUGGAUACACCUCUUCCCAUACCGAACAGAGAAGUUAAGCACUUUAACGGCGAAAAUAGUGUAAGCGAAGAUAGCAAGUUGCCAAUU